UCAUGUGAUCGCCUCUGUCCGCGGGCGCAAUAUCUCUGCGAAUGAGGGUUAGCUGCUUUCGGAAGGUACAGUACACGGGAUAAAAAGGAAAGCUGCAAAAAAACGGGAGGGAAAUACUUUCGGUAUUGACUGAGAGGCUUUAUUAGCCGUUGAUGCAUGUCAGAAAACAAAUUUUAACAUGCCGGUCCCGUGUUUUGCAGCAAACGGAAAAACUGCUACGGACCUGAGGCUGCGAUAGGCAGAGGAUAUUUAUUGAGAAUAAUUUGCAGACCAGGAUCCCAAUGCAAGUUCUCCAUUAAGCGGAGUGAUCAGGAUCUGAGUAUCAUUGACACUUAACAGUGAAAGGAAAGAGGUUUAACCAUUCUAUGCGUGGGAGAAUACUCCUGGUAAGUUUGUAACUUGAAAGCAGGAUAUUCAAAUUUUUGGUUUGAUCACCUCUGGGAUAAGUGUUCAGUUCUAUACCCUGCAGCUGAGAAAGGAGAUAUUGGCCUGAGAGGGGUAGAUUUGUCCAAACAACACCUCGUCUCUUUGAAAGAACUGUCAUAUUUAGUCCCAUUCGCCCACUUCAUGAUUUUAGUCUAUACAUUUUUCAUUCUUGAAUACCUGCAAACUUCCUUUUAAAAUUCCUGAUGGGCACAAAUUCCAGCACCCCUCCAGGUGGAAUCUUCCAUUUCCUGACAACUCCAUUGAUCCUGAAACUGCUGAAGUCUGUGUUGAUUCCUGAGGUUUAUAAAUUAUUGCAUUUAACGUGAAGAUGCUGUUCCCUGAGCUUCCAUUGAGCUGCAUUGAAACAGUAUGGGAGGCUGAGAUCAGAGUGGGUGUGAGCAGACAAUGAAAAUGAAAAGGCUGCACUGUGAGUGCUGCUUGGCUAAAUGAGAGUGCUUUGGAGUUGGGUGAAACAGAAAGUGAAACUGAAAGAUUGAGUGUGAUGCUCAGUCUCAGUUUGGGCAGUUCAGAAAGUCUCUCAGUCCUAAUGGAAACAGCCAAUUGAUAUUUGAUAUCGUAAAGAAUUUUCUUACAGUUUUUAAAGUAUAUAUUAGCUUAAAUAAAGUUAGGGGCUUUAGGUUUAUAAUAGUAAUGUUUGAAAUGAAGGGGGAGGACCUAGCUUAAUUAAAUUCUUUUUAAGGCAGAAACUGGCUUAAUCUGGAGAGAAGUCAUAACAGAAGACAUCACAUCUGUGGUGUGCUCCUCUUGCACAAUAGAACAUAGGCUCUUGAUGUUGUGUCGACCUGUGAAACCACACUGAAGCCCAUUUAACCCACACUAUUCCAUUAUCAUCCAUAUGUUUAUCCAAAGACCACUUAAAUGCCCUUAAACUUGGCGAGUCUACUACUGUUGCAGGCAGGGCAUUGCACGCCCUUAUUACCCUGAGUAAAGAACCUACCUCUGACAUCUGUCCGAUAUCUAUGACCCGUCAAUCUAAAGCUAUAUCCCCUCGUGCUAGCCAGCUCCAUCUGAGGAAAAAGGAUCUCAGUGCCCACCCUAUCUAAUCCUCAUAUCAUCUUGUAUGUCUCUAUUAGGUCACCUCUGAACCUUCUUCUCUCUGACGAAAACAGCCUAAAGUCCCUCAACCUUUCCUCAUAAGACCUUCCCUCGAUACCAGGCAACAUUCUGGUAAAUCUCCUGUGCACCCUUUCCAAUGCUUGCACAUCCUUCGUGCAAUGCGGUGACCAGAACUCCGAGUGCGGCCGCACCAGAGUUUCGUACCGCUGCAAUAUGACCUCAUGGUUCUGAAACGCAAUCCCUCUAUCAAUAAAAACGAACACAUUGUACACCUUCUUAACAACCCUAUCAACUUGUGGACACUUUCAGGGAUCUAUGUACAUGGACACCGAGAUCUCUUUGCUCAUCCACACUAUCAAGAAUCUUACCAUUAGCCCAGUACUCUGUAUUCCUGUUACUCCUUCCAAUGUGAAUCACCUCACAGUUUUCCGCAUUAAACUCUGGGACAUUACCAGUGUCCCUAUUGGCUAUUUGUGCAGGAAGUGUGUCCAUCUGCAGCUACUGGUUAACUGCUUUUCAGAGCUUGAGCUGUGGGUGCAGUCAGUAUGGAGCAUCCAUGGUAACUGAGAAGGUUGUGGUCGCAUUCUCAACAGACUGGUCACGCAGCAGGUGAAGAUUACACAGACAGCAAGAGAAUGGGUGACUAUCAGACAAGUAAAAGGCUCAGAAAGGAAGUGCUAGAGUCAUCUCCCUCAAAUAGAUAUACUGUUUUGGGUACUGUUCGGUUGGGGGGUUGGGGGUGGGGGAGAGAGGUGGGGGAUGUUGGGGUGGCCACUCGGGAAGCAGCAUCAGUCAGGUUCAUGGCACUCGGAGUAACUCCGCUGCAUAGAAGGGGAGGGAAACGAUAAAUAUGACUGUAGAGACAGGGGAUUCAAUAGUAAGGGAUAGAGAGAGACAUGAAUCCAGGAUGGUAUGUUGCCUCCCUGGUGCCAGGAUUAGCAAUGACAUGGAGCAGCUUCAGGACAUUCUGGAGUGGGAGGAUGAACAUCCGAUUGUACCAGUGACAUAGGAAAACCAAGGGAGGAGGACCUGAAAGCUGAAGAUAGGAAGUUAAGAGAUACACUAAAAUACGAGAUCUCAAAUAUAGUAUUGUCAAGCUUACACCCAGUGCCACAUUGUUGUCGGGAGAAGUUUGUGUUGUGUUCAGUUGUACGAGUGACCUUUAUUCAGAGCUCUGUUACCACAUGUGUGGGAGAGGCCAGAGUCCACUCCAAACCUGGCUUUCACAUGAGGCCUAAUUCCCCUCUUAAAUACAGCUCAGAUUGGAAGAGUGGACAAUGACAUUCAGACUUUCCCUGGCUGAUUGUGAUAUUUUUAUUCCAUUCGCUAGAUGUUAUUUACAUGCAAUAUUGUUGUCAUUGUUAGCCACACACCCCAAAUCAAUAUACCCAAUCCAGUAAGCAAACCACUUUCCUAGGAUGGUGACGGCGAGUACGAGGGGGCAUAGCUUUAAAUUGAGGGGUGAAAGAUAUAGGACAGAUGCCAGAGGUAGUUUCUUUACUCAGAGAGUAGUAAGGGAAUGGAACGCUUUGCCUGCAACGCUAGUAGAUUUGCCAACUUUAGGUACAUUUAGGGUGUCAUUGGAUAAGCAUAUGGACGUACAUGGAAUAGUGUAGGUUAGACGGGCUUGAGAUCGGUAUGACAGGUCGGCAAAACAUCAAGGGCCGAAGGGCCUGUACUGUGCUGUAAUGUUCUAUGUCCUAUGUUCAAACAAUCGUGGACAACACUAUGUUCAGUCCUAAACCCUUCUAUAAUCUCCUGAGGUUAGCUCGAAAACUACUUCGUCUGUCUUUGGGACCUUACAAUGCUUUGGCAGUUAUAUUCCUCCUCAGACAUUUGCCAGCUGCACCACAUUUUUUUGCCAAAAACCAAAAUAGUAGCUUAUCACUAAGAACUUUUCCAAAUUCUCUACUAACUGUAGUGUGGAUUGUUAGGAAUUGUGAUAAAGUCUUUUAAACUCAACUCUGAUAUAAAGUUACUACAAUUUUGUAAUACAGUUGACAAAUUGUGGAAAAAUCCCUCUGUCACUUCAGCUUAAAAGAUCAAACAGUGUUUCUGACUUGCUGCUGCAGUUUACAACCCCAACAAUUUGUAUGCUGCAAAUGAUUUUUAAAGUGAAGUUUCAUUUUCUACUCUAAGCGCUUUCCAUUAUUACUUUCUUGUUUUAAUAAAGAGCAUCUAUUCAAACUCCACCGAGGGUGAAAUUCAGUCACUUUAGAACUUUACCAAGCUGUUAAACAGAACUUGUUUAGAUUUCACAAAUAACUAAGGCACUAACCAUAUCUUCACUUUGGAUUUUGUAAUCUAUCUUUGUCACUCUUCCGUUGAUCUUUGGAUGUAAGAAUUUGUUCAAAUUAUCCGUAUCUACAUUUCAAUUGUUUUAUCUCUCUGCAGCCCUGACUUCUCUCUUUAUAAUCUUCCUUUGCCCCUUCCUAUGUUGUUGGUCUUUUAGAGGUUGUGUUUACACCGUUUAUUGCUUUGCCUUCCAUAAUGAUGCAGUGAGCUGCUUUUAUUGCUGACAAACAUUUGCUCAAGGAAUUUAGCUAACCGUUUCACGUUAAUUGGUUGUUUGCAUUUCUGGUUACAAUUACCUAAACAGUUCAGAAUGCUGUAGGAUCAGACUUUUGCUUCUACUUUUCAUUAAGUAACAAACUUGUGAUUGUGGCUGAACCGGGCCUUUAAACACUGCCUCUUGUUAAAAUGCUUAUGUGUUUUGAACUGCCUGUUAACAGAAACCCAAGUAAAUUCCCUAAUGUUCCUUCUCAACAGGACUCUUUUAUAUCCCCACAGGACCUUUCGUGAUCUAAUCCCGUAACAGUGUGAGCUGCUACAAUGCACAUGCUAGUAAAAGCAUAAGAGGACAGAUGAGAUGAGUGCAUGGCUGGAGCUAUAACUUAAAAAGAUUUGGAUUCCUGAGGCAUUGAGACUGUUUGUUUGUUUCUGGGGAAGGUGGGACAUGCACAAGCUUGAACAAUUGUCCUGGGCAGAGCUGGGACAGAUAUUCUUGUUGAUGCUUUUGCUAGUUCCACUGGUGAGGAUUUAAACUCGUAUGACAGGGGAAUGGGAACCAAAGUAUACCUUUAGCAGUAAAAGACUCAAAUCAGCAAAUGGGACGUGAAAUUAGUUCAUGAUGUUGUCGGUGGCUGAAAGAUUAAAAGAAAGAAGGAUUAAUCAAGAUCAAAUCUCUUUUCAUACAUCAGUCCUGUGAUCCCAGGAAUUGGUCUGGUGAACCUUCUUUGCGAUCAUUCAGUAGCCAGACCAUCCUUCCUUUGGAAAGGAGAACAAAGGUGCACACUACUGCAGGUGUGGUCUCACCAAGGCCCUUAUAGAAAGACAUCCCUCCUCCUGUACUCGAAUCCUGUCACAAUGAAGGCCGAAAUAUCAUUUGCAUUCUUCACUACUUGCUGCUGCCUGUUUCCUAAAAGAGAAUAGGAGAGAAACACGGAACUAAAUGGGGUCAGACAGUCGGGUACAAUUGUUGAACACACUGUCCCCAUUGUAUCGGUGCUGGCCAUCAAGCACCUAUUUAAGCUAGGCCCGUUUUCUGGCACUCGGUGUGUAACCUAUAUUAUGGUGCAGUGGAUGAUCAUCUCAACACUUCUUCAAGAUUGCAAUGGUUCCUGCAUCUAUUAACAUUUCAGAUGCUGCCAGAUCUACUGUGUAUCUCCAUCUUUUUCUGUUUUUAUUCCAGAUUUCGGGUAUUUUGCUGUGUAUUCUUAGUCCUUCAGAAGCAUCAGAGGGUAUGGGGAGAAAACAGGAAUUGGAUUCAUUUUCAGAUGUAUAAAAUGCCUGCCCUUCAUGUCUGUCCAAACUCUAUCUCUUUUUGUAGUUUUGGGCAAACGCUGACUGUUUCCUUUCCCUGAAGGACAUUAAAUGAACCAGUUCAGUUUUACUGAUAAUCCAGCAGUGCCCCUCAGUGUUGCAUCCACAAUUGACCAGAUUAAUUUCUGAGUUUCACAAUCUUUGUGUGUGUUCUUCUGGUUUCUCUCUCUCUCUCUCUCUCUCUCUCUCUCUCUCUACGUUUCUUUUUUUUCUUCAGUUUGAAAUUUUGAUUGCAUUCAGAGAAAUCAAACAAAACCACAUCCAGAUCUGACACUCAAUCUGUUUGUCAUAACCUAAUUAUCUCAGGAUUUUGAACAUUAAAGGAAGAAGCACUGUUCACACCAGGGAGAAAUGCGUAUUGUCUGUGUGUCGAAGAGUCUUUGAAGAUUCAUCUGAAAUGCCCAAACACCAGCGCAGUCACACUUGGGAGAGACUGUGGAAAUGUGGGGAUUGUGGGAAGGGAUUUAUUUACCCAUCCCAGCUGGAAAUGCACCAACGCAGUCACACUGGGGAGAAACCGUUCAUUUGCUCUGAUUGUGGGCUGGGAUUCACUCAGUCAAGCAACCUGCUGAAACACCGAGUUCACAGUGGGGAGAGACUGUUCACAUGUUCCGAGUAUGGGAAGGGAUUUGCUCGCUCACUCAACCAACCUGCUGAGACACCAGCGAGUUCACUCUGGGGACAGACCAUUCACUUGUUCUAUGUGUGGAAAGGGAUUCACUCAAUCAUCCCAACUGUUAACACACCAGCAAGUUCACCACAACCACAUUUGAAGGAUUUUGCCCUUAAAUCAAGGAAUGAACUUUGAUCUUUGGGCUGUUUGUACUGGUGUCAUUAGUCCCUGCUCAAAACUUGAUCUUCUCUUGGGAAAUAAGGUAGGGCAGGUGACUGAGGGGUCAGCAGGGGCGAGAAUAUUUUGGGGCCUAUGAUUGUAUCUCUAUUAGUUUUAAAAUAAUUAUGGAAAAGGAUAGACUUUGGUCUAAGAGUCAAAGUUUUAAAUGAGACUAAGGCCAAUUUUGACACUACUAUGCUCCUUAAAAGCACAGUAAGACCGCCUAUGUGUGGGAAUGCACGAGUUGGGUGAGAUACAAAAAAGUAUUUUACAUCAGUAUUUACUGUGAUCAAGGAUACAAAAGCUAAAGAACUUAGAGAAAUGAAUGUGUAUCUUGAAAAGUUCCAUGUUGUGGAGGAGGUGGUGCUGGAUGCCUUACAGACCAUAAAGGUGGAUAAAUCCCCAGGACCUCUUCAGGUGUAUUCUCGAACUUUGCGGGAAGCUAGGCUUGCAAUUGGGCCCCUUGCUCAGAUAUUUGCACCAUUGACAGUCAUAGGUGAGCUGUUACACUGGAGGUUGGCUAAUCUGGUGCCAUUGUUUAAGAAAGGUGGUAACAGAAAACCAGGGAACAAUAAACUUUUGGUGAGCCUGACGUCAGCUGUGGGUAAGUUGUUGGAGGGAAUUCUGAGGGAUAGGAUUUACAUAUAUUUGGAAAGCGUGGACUGAAUGGGGAAUAGUCGACAUGGCUUUGUCCAUAGGAAAUUAUGUCUUACUAACUUGAUUGAGUUUUUUUGAAGAAGUUAGAAACAAGAUUGAUGGCAGAGCGGUGGAUGUUUUCGAUAUUCCGCAUGGUCGACUGAUUAACAAGGUUAGAUCACAUGGAAUCCAGGGAGAGCUGGCCAUUUGGAAAGGCGUUUGACCUGCAGUAUGCUGCAAGGAUUGGUACUUAGUAGCUAUAACUCGUACAUUCACAUCCAAAUCAUCUUUAUAAAUGACAAAAUGGAGUGGACCCAGCUCUGAUCCUUGCAGCACACCACUGGUCACAGGCCUCCAGUCUACAAAGCAACCCUCCACCAGCACUCCGUCUUCUACCUUCAAGUCAGAUCUGUUUCCAAAUGACUGGUUCUCUCUGUAUUCCAUGUGAUCUGACCUUGCUCAUCAGUCUACCAUGAGGAACCUUGUCAAACGCCUUAGUGACAUCCAUAUAGAAUACAUCCACCUCUUUGCGCUAUUCAAUCCUCUUUGUUCCUCCAUCAAAAAAAAAUCAAGUCAGUGAGACAUGAUUUCCUACACACACAGCCAUGUUGAUUAUCCCUAAUCAGUCCCUCCCUUUCCAAAUAUUUCAAGUACUAUCCCUCAGGAUUCCUAGAACGACUUUCCCACCACUAAUAUCAGGCUCACUGGCCUAUAGUUCCCUGGCUUUUCCUUACCACCUUUCUUAAAUAGUGGCACCACAUUAGCCAACUUCUGGUCCCUCACCUGUGGAUAUCGAUGACACAAAUAUCUCAGCAAGGGGCCCAGCAAUCACUUGCCUAGCUUCCCUCCGAGUUCUCGGAUACGCCUGAUCAGGUCCCAGGAAUUUAUCCGCUUUUAUGCGUUUAAAGCAUCACUACCUCUGUAAUAUGGAUAAUUUUCACGAUGUUGCUAUUUAUUUCCCCACAGUCUAUAUCUUCCAUAUCCUUUUCUGUAGUAAAUACUGAUGCAUAAUACUUGUUUUAUUAUAUUCCCCAUUUCUUGCAAUUCCACACAUAGGAGGCAUUGCUGCUUUUUAAGGGGCCCUAUCUCCCCAUAGUUAUCCUUUUUGUUCUUAAUCUAUUUGUAGAAUCCCACUGGAUUUUCCUUAAUACUAUUUGCCUAAGUUACCUCAUGUUCCCUUUUUGCCCUACUAAUUUCCCUCUUAAGUAUACUAUUGUCAUUAUACUCUUGUAAGCAUUCACUCAAUCUCUGCUGUCUAUACCUGACUUGUCCUUCCUCCUUUUUCUUGACCAAAACCUUGAUUUCUCUAGUCAUCCAGAAUUCCCUAUACCUACCAGCAUUGUCCUUCACCCGAACAGGAGUAUACUGUCCCUGAACUCUCGUUAUCUCUUUUUUUUGAAGGCUUCCCACUUUCUAACCUUUCUUUUUUACCUGCAAACAUCUGCCCCAAUCAACUUUUGAAAGCUCUUGUGUAAUACCAUUAAAAUUGGCCUUCCCCCAAUAUAGAGCUUUAACUUUCAGAUCCGGUCUACUCUUUUCCAUCACUAUUUUAAAACUAAUAGAAUUAUGGUCACUGGCCCCAAAGUCCUCCCCUGCUGAUACCCUAGUCACCUGUCCUGCUUUAUUUGCCAAGAGCAGGUCAAGUUUUGCACCUUCUGUAGUCGGUACAUCACAUACUGAAUCAGAACAUUUUCCUGUACACUCUCAGCAAACUCCGCUCCAUCCAAGCCUUUUAGACCAUGGAAUUCCCAGUCUGUUUGGAAAGUUAAAAUCCCUUCCAUCACCACCCUGUUAUUCUUACAGAUAACUUCUUUCAAAAUUAUUUGUCAGAUUCCUGCUGACUAUUGGGGGUGGCUAUAGUAUAAUCCCAAUAAGGUGAUCAUCCCUUUCUUAUUUCUCAGUUUCACCCAAAUAACUUCCCUGGAUGUAUUCUCAGAUAUAUCCUGCCUAAGUAACGCCAUAAUGUUAUCCUUGCUCAAAAAUGCCACUUUUCCCUCCUCUCUUGCUUUGCUUCCCCCUCCCCCUUCGACUUUCUAUCCUUUCUAUAGGAACUAUAUCUUAGAACAUUAAGCUGGCAGCCCUGUCCAUCUUUGAGCCUUGCCUCUGUAAUUGCAAUGAUAACCCAGUUUCAUGUUUCCAAUCUUGCCCUGAGUUCCUCUGCCUUAGCUGUUAGGCCUCUGGCAUUGAAAUAAAUGGCGUUUAAUUUAUUAAUCCUUUCGCAUUAAUCUCAAUAACAAAUACGUAACUGUAGAGUAGGUUUUGAAAAUGAUAACGUUUUAUUGCUGUAUAUCAACACAUUCACACUGGGUAAAGACAAUCCACCCACACAGUGUGUGAAAAGGGAUUCCCUAGUUCAUUAGGACGGGUUUUCAUAGAAUUCGGAGUAUUCCUACAGUAUGGAAACAGGCCCUUCGGCCCAAGAAUUCCACACAAAACCUCAGAGCAUCCCACCCAGACACAUCUCCCCGUAGCCCACCAAAUGUAUGCAUCACUGAACACUCUGGGCAAUUUAGCUUGGCGAAUCCACUAACCAGCACAUGGGAGGAAACCAGAGCACCGAGAGGAAACCCACGCAGCCACAGGGAGAAUAUGCCAACAACCACAUGCUCGGUUGCCCAAGGGUGGAAUCAAAUCCAGGUCUCUGGCACUGUGAGGCAGCAGUGCUAACCGCUGAGCCACUGUGGUUAACCACCAAUGAGUUCCCAAGAAUCUGUAGGAAUUUUUGUUGCUCGUAUUAUCUGUAUCCAAGUCAUGUUAUCUGGGCUUGUUUCUCAUGAUGUUUGAAAACACCACAUGUCUGGUUACCUAGUUGGGAGAAAAAAUGAUAUAAAUUUUAUUAAAACUACUGUGCAUUCGAUCUUUAUUUCAAAAGCAGACUAAUUUAUUUUGAAAGGGGAGAUGGAGAGCCUAUCUCCUCUAUCCUCACCUCCAACAAGUGCGAGGAACCUGUGGUUUUUAUUUUUCACUCAAUGACAGUCAGUACAUUUCAUAUGAGCAACUGGGAACCGAGUCAUCCCAAAAUGCUUGCAACUUAGUGUAUUAAUGGUACACUAUUACAAUAAUAACCAUUACAAUUCUUUUCUGAACCUUUUGCAGUUUUACAACAUCCGUCCUUCAGCAGGAAGAGUAGAAUUACACACAGUGGUUACACCUAAACUGGAAUGGGAACUGCAUCCUUGUGGGGGGUGGGGGUGGGUUUCCAGUACUGUUGGGGGUCAUGUAAAAAGUUUAGCAGUGGGCUGAAAUCCAGAGAAUGUUCAAAAUAAUAAUGGCCAAAAAGAGAAGAAACAAGAGAGUCUGGAAGGCAUUGUCAUUGGGCAAUUAAGAUAUAAGCGAGUUUGCCAAGGGUGAAUGGUAUUUAAUGCUUGGAGUCAGAUGAAUAAGGCAGAUGAUUUGAGGAUACAAAUUAGUGGGGUCAUAAAGCCAUUGCUGUCACUUGGACAUGGUUAGCAGCUCAGUAUUCCAGGAUACAGGGCCUUCAUGCAAGGCAGUGGAGGUGUUAAAGGAGGAGGAGAUAUUGUUAUUUUGCUUCGGGAAUCUAUACAGCAAUAAGGACAGGUGACAUUUUUGAAAACCCCUUUAAAUAAAUAAGGAGACAGAUUUUGAGAAAGUGUAGAAGUAGCAGGAUUAUGGUAGCAGAGACUUUCAACUUCCUCAACAUUAAUGGAGUCGUCAUAAUGUGAAGGAUUUAUCAGAAUUUUUAAAAUACAUCCAGGAGAGCAUUUUUUCAGCCAUUAAGUAGAAGUCCCAACAAGGAAGGGGAAGGUCCUGGACUUGACUUUAGGUUACAAAGUUGAGCAAGUGGUUGAAGUUUCAGUGGGAUAGCAUUUUGCAGGCAGUUAUUAUAACUAUUCGAUUCAGGAUUUGUGUGGAAAAGGGCAAGGAUGGGUCUAAAGUCCUAAACUGAUGCUGAAGUUAUGAAGAAAGUAAAUGGAAUUUUGGCCUUAACUGCGAGGUGUUAGUGUUUUGAGGAUCGGGACAUCUUGUAACAACUGUAUUGGAUGUUGGUGAAGCCAUAUUGGUUUAGCUACUCGUAUUUAAGAAAGGAUAUGCUGGCGUUGAAUGCGGUGCAAAAGAGAUUCGCUAAGCUGAUUCAUGGGAUGUAAGGGUCAUCAAGAAUAGCUGGAGGAAGGGAAUUUGCAAAGGGAAAAUACUAAAUAAACAGGUGGUGCCCAGUGUUGGGCUCGUACUCACAACUCUGCACUUAAACAGCGUAUGUUCCAACAACUGAGUUAACUUGGCCUUCCACAGUCAAUGUUCAAAUCCUGCUUUAUAAGGUGACAAAUGGGUUUUUCACUGACGCCGCUGCAGUCCAAGGAAGUAAAAGGUAACUGCUUUAGAAAAUCCCAAGGUUCCAAUGUAUUCUUCUCAUUCACAUUGCAAUCCAUUUUCAGUACUUGCUCCAGGAUUUAACAUUCAAAAUUAAUUUUGUGAUGUUGUUGCCCUCAUCUUUAAGUGCCCUGUAUAACUCCAGUCACUCGGUCGAAUGGUGAAAAAGUCUGUUUCAAUAAACCAAUUUUUUUCAGCUACA